GACAGAGGGUGCGAACGUUGCUCGGAAUUACUGGGCGUAAAGCGCACGUAGGCGGAUUUGUAAGUCAGGGGUGAAAUCCCGGGGCUCAACCUCGGAACUGCCUUUGAUACUGCAAAUCUCGAGUCCGGAAGAGGUGAGUGGAAUUCCUAGUGUAGAGGUGAAAUUCGUAGAUAUUAGGAAGAACACCAGUGGCGAAGGCGGCUCACUGGUCCGGUACUGACGCUGAGGUGCGAAAGCGUGGGGAGCAAACAGG
rnacentral:rRNA from 1 species